GAUGAAGAACGCAGCGAAAUGCGAUAAGUAAUGUGAAUUGCAGAAUUCAGUGAAUCAUCGAAUCUUUGAACGCACCUUGCGCUCCUUGGUAUUCCGAGGAGCAUGCCUGUUUGAGUGUCAUUAAAUUCUCAACCUAACACCUGUUUUGCAAUGGGUUUUGUUAGGCUUGGAUAUGGGGGCUUGCAGGUCCGCUCUUUUGUGGUCUGCUCCUCUGAAAUGCAUUAGUGGGUUUGUGCCCCUCAUCUAUUGGUGUGAUAAUUAUCUACGCCGUGGGUGAUGGAUUGGCCAUCAAUGAACCUGCUCAUAACCGUCCGUCUCGGACAACUUUGAUCAUUUUGACCUCAAAUCAGGUAAGACUACCCGCUGAACUUAAGCAUAUCAAUAAGCGGAGGA
rnacentral:misc_RNA from 1 species